rnacentral:lncRNA from 1 species
CCACUAGGGGCCUUUGCAGUUAAGGUCAGAAAAAUAUACUAAUGGAUGGAAAACACUACUUCCCCAGUAAUCCUGUCAUAAUCAACAUUCUAUCAUAUCUCAUAACUGAAGACUGCAUAACAUUUAUUUAGCUCUCACUGCUUUAAACUUUAUAAAAUAUAUGAUGCUGAACACAGCAAAAAAACUGAGGCCAAAACGCUGAAUUAUGACAAAACAAGUGUUCUGCUCCAGGCAGAUUUCUGCUGGUUGAUUGGCAGAUUAAGUCCAGGGUGUUUGUGGGUGCCUGUGGCAAAGCGCGGUAGAAGUUUAUAGUUUGAAAAACCCUCUUGGGUAACUAACAUCAAGGUAUACAGUGAGUAUAUAAAACAGGCACUGUCAGAGCAAAACCGAUCCAGGAGGGCAGUGUGAAAAGGUUGAGC